rfam:Glossina palpalis gambiensis isolate 146720 unplaced genomic scaffold Scaffold77, whole genome shotgun sequence.
GCCCUUUUAGCUCAGUGGUAGAGCACUGGUCUCGUAAACCAGAGGUCGUGAGUUCGAACCUCACAGAGGACA